AAUUAUUGGGUAAGGCUAACU
rnacentral:snRNA from 1 species